rnacentral:rRNA from 1 species
UACGUAGGUGACAAGCGUUGUCCGGAUUUACUGGGCGGAAAGAGCGCGCAGGCGGUCGUUCAAGUCGAGUGUGAAAGCCCCCGGCUCAACUGGGGAGGGUCACUCGAUACUGAUCGACUCGAAGGCAGGAGAGGGAAGUGGAAUUCCCGGUGUAGUGGUGAAAUGCGUAGAUAUCGGGAGGAACACCAGUGGCGAAGGCGACUUCCUGGCCUGUUCUUGACGCUGAGGCGCGAAAGCUAGGGGAGCAAACGGG